rnacentral:rRNA from 1 species
GUUUGAUCCUGGCUCAGAAUUAAUGCUAUUAGGAUGCUUGACACAUGCGAGUUUUUUCUUAUGAAUUUUUUUGUGAGUUAAAGCGAAUAGGUGAGUAAUGCGUGAGGAUUUACUUUAUAGUUAUAGACUUUUAACAAAAACAUAAUUUUAUGUACUACAAAAUAAACUCACGUAAGAUUAGAUAGUUGGUGAAGUAAAAGCUCACCAAGUCUGUGAUCUUUAGCCGUUUUGAAAGAAAGACCGGCCACAAUGGAACUGAGACAAGGUCCAUGCGUCAUUUGGCGCCAGCAGUGAGGAAUAUUGGGCAAUGAAAGCAAUUUUGACCCAGCAAUCCUAAAUGAGGGAAGAAGACUAUAUCGUUGUAAACCUUAAUGCGUAAGAAAGAUUAUGACUGUACUUACGUAAGUAGUGGGGGCUAAUUCCGUGCCAGCAGCCGCGGUAAUACGGAAUCCACGAGCAUUAUUCGAUAUUAAUUGGCGUAAAGGGUCCGUAGGCUGUCAAUAAAGCUAAAUGUGAAAUGCCAGAGCUUAACUUUGGAACGUCGUUUAGAACUAAUUGACUUGAGAGAUAAAGAGGAUAAUGGAAUUUUUAAUGGAGAGAUAAAAUGCUAAGAUAUUAAAAGGAACAUCAAAGGCGAAAGCAAUUAUCUGGUUAUUUUCUGACGCUGAGGGACGAAAGCGUAGGUAGCGAAUAGGAUUAGAUACCCUAGUAGUCUACGCCGUGACCGAUGAGUGCUAAACGUUAAAUUUUUUUAUUUACCUAUUUAAAAAAAAAUUAUAGUGUUACAGCUAACGCAUUAAGCACUCCGCCUGAGGAGUACGGUCGCAAGACUAAAACUCAAAGGAAUAGACGGGAGCCUACACAAGCGGUGGAGCAUGCGGUUUAAUGCGAUGAUACGCGCGAAACCUUACCAAUUCUUGCAUAUUUCUGUUGAAUUUAUAAUGUCAUGUUAUAAAAGAGGUUAUACAGGUGUUGCAUGGUUGUCGUCAGUUCGUGUUUUGAAAUGUUUGGUUAAGUCCUGUAACGAACGCAACUCUUAUUUCUAGUUAUUUAUAUACGUAAUUAUUUCUGUUUUAUAAAUACGUAUCUAUGUUUUAGGAAAACUGCCUGUGACAAACAGGAGGAAGGUGAGAAUGACGUCAAAUCUUCAUGGCCCUUAUGAAUUGGGCUACUCGUGUGCUACAAUGGCAAUCACAAUAAGAAGCGACGAUGUAAAUCGGAGCGAAUCUCUAAAAAUUGUCUCAGUUCGAAUUAUAGACUGCAACUCGUCUAUAUGAAGUUGGAAUCGCUAGUAAUCGCAGAUCAGUACGCUGCGGUGAAUUUGUACCUAGGCUUUGUACUCACCGCCCGUCAUAUCGAGGAAAUUGAUUAAAUCAAAAGUUUUAUUAAAUAUUAAUGACUAUCGAAUGUCUAUUAUGUUAUUAAUUUUAUUUUAUUAUGAUCUG